rnacentral:misc_RNA from 1 species
GUUCCUCACCCGCCUCCGGCAUGCUGUUGACCCAGUAGUCGGUGACGAAGCGGCGCGAUGCGCCUUCGAGUCCGCCAACGAGCUGGUUGUAAUAGAGGUACUCGUGGGGAUGCAGGUGAUACAGCUUGCCCGCGGUCCAGGUGUAGCAGGUGGCGACGACGGCAAGCCAGACCACCAUGGUGCUGCGGUGAAACCGCGCCAGCGCGCCGACCG